rnacentral:rRNA from 1 species
UACGUAGGGUGCGAGCGUUAAUCGGAAUUACUGGGCGUAAAGCGUGCGUAGGCGGUUCUCCAAGUCCGUUGUGAAGCCCCGGGCUCAACCUGGGAAUGGCAGUGGAAACUAGGGGACUGGAAUCUGGCAGAGGGGGGUGGAAUGCCGCGUGUAGCAGUGAAAUGCGUAGAGAUGCGGCGGAACACCGAUGGCGAAGGCAGCCCCCUGGGCUGAGAUUGACGCUCAGGCACGAAAGCGUGGGGAGCAAACAGG